UACGAACUGUGCGAACGUUAUUCGGAAUCACUGGGCUUACAGGGUGCGUAGGCGGCUUAGCAAGUCAGGUGUGAAAUCUCGGGGCUUAACUCCGAAACUGCAUUCGAUACUGCCGUGCUUGAGGACUGGAGAGGAGACUGGAAUUUACGGUGUAGCGGUGAAAUGCGUAGAUAUCGGGAGGAACACCUGUGGCGAAAGCGGCUCACUGGACCACAACUGACGCUGAGGCGCGAAAGCAUGGGGAGCGAACAGG
rnacentral:rRNA from 1 species